rnacentral:rRNA from 1 species
CCUACGGGUGGCUGCAGUGGGGAAUAUUGGACAAUGGGCGAAAGCCUGAUCCAGCCAUGCCGCGUGUGUGAAGAAGGCCUUCGGGUUGUAAAGCACUUUCAGUGGGGAAGAAAGCCUUGGGGCUAAUACCCUCGAGGAAGGACAUCACCCACAGAAGAAGCACCGGCUAACUCCGUGCCAGCAGCCGCGGUAAUACGGAGGGUGCGAGCGUUAAUCGGAAUUACUGGGCGUAAAGCGCGCGUAGGCGGUCUGAUAAGCCGGUUGUGAAAGCCCCGGGCUCAACCUGGGAACGGCAUCCGGAACUGUCAGGCUAGAGUGCAGGAGAGGAAGGUAGAAUUCCCGGUGUAGCGGUGAAAUGCGUAGAGAUCGGGAGGAAUACCAGUGGCGAAUGCGGCCUUCUGGACUGACACUGACGCUGAGGUGCGAAAGCGUGGGUAGCAAACAGGAUUAGAUACCCGAGUAGUC